rnacentral:rRNA from 1 species
GACGAACGCUGGCGGCGUGCUUAACACAUGCAAGUCGAACGGAAAGGCCCUGCUUUUGUGGGGUGCUCGAGUGGCGAACGGGUGAGUAACACGUGAGUAACCUGCCCUUGACUUUGGGAUAACUUCAGGAAACUGGGGCUAAUACCGGAUAGGAGCUCCUGCUGCAUGGUGGGGGUUGGAAAGUUUCGGCGGUUGGGGAUGGACUCGCGGCUUAUCAGCUUGUUGGUGGGGUAGUGGCUUACCAAGGCUUUGACGGGUAGCCGGCCUGAGAGGGUGACCGGCCACAUUGGGACUGAGAUACGGCCCAGACUCCUACGGGAGGCAGCAGUGGGGGAUAUUGCACAAUGGGCGGAAGCCUGAUGCAGCAACGCCGCGUGCGGGAUGACGGCCCUCGGGUUGUAAACCGCUUUCGCCUGUGACGAAGCGUGAGUGACGGUAAUGGGUAAAGAAGCACCGGCUAACUACGUGCCAGCAGCCGCGGUGAUACGUAGGGUGCGAGCGUUGUCCGGAUUUAUUGGGCGUAAAGGGCUCGUAGGUGGUUGAUCGCGUCGGAAGUGUAAUCUUGGGGCUUAACCCUGAGCGUGCUUUCGAUACGGGUUGACUUGAGGAAGGUAGGGGAGAAUGGAAUUCCUGGUGGAGCGGUGGAAUGCGCAGAUAUCAGGAGGAACACCAGUGGCGAAGGCGGUUCUCUGGGCCUUUCCUGACGCUGAGGAGCGAAAGCGUGGGGAGCGAACAGGCUUAGAUACCCUGGUAGUCCACGCUGUAAACGGUGGGUACUAGGUGUGGGGUCCAUUCCACGGGUUCCGUGCCGUAGCUAACGCUUUAAGUACCCCGCCUGGGGAGUACGGCCGCAAGGCUAAAACUCAAAGGAAUUGACGGGGCCCCGCACAAGCGGCGGAGCAUGCGGAUUAAUUCGAUGCAACGCGUAGAACCUUACCUGGGUUUGACAUGGAUCGGGAGUGCUCAGAGAUGGGUGUGCCUCUUUUGGGGUCGGUUCACAGGUGGUGCAUGGCUGUCGUCAGCUCGUGUCGUGAGAUGUUGGGUUAAGUCCCGCAACGAGCGCAACCCUUGUUCACUGUUGCCAGCACGUUAUGGUGGGGACUCAGUGGAGACCGCCGGGGUCAACUCGGAGGAAGGUGGGGAUGACGUCAAGUCAUCAUGCCCCUUAUGUCCAGGGCUUCACGCAUGCUACAAUGGCUGGUACAGAGAGUGGCGAGCCUGUGAGGGUGAGCGAAUCUCGGAAAGCCGGUCUCAGUUCGGAUUGGGGUCUGCAACUCGACCUCAUGAAGUCGGAGUCGCUAGUAAUCGCAGAUCAGCAACGCUGCGGUGAAUACGUUCCCGGG